AUGAACGCUGGCGGCGUGCUUAACACAUGCAAGUCGAACGGUGAAGCCCAGCUUGCUGGGUGGAUCAGUGGCGAACGGGUGAGUAACACGUGAGCAACCUGCCCCUGACUCUGGGAUAAGCGCUGGAAACGGCGUCUAAUACUGGAUAUGUACCACGAUCGCAUGGUCUGUGGUUGGAAAGAUUUUUCGGUUGGGGAUGGGCUCGCGGCCUAUCAGCUUGUUGGUGAGGUAAUGGCUCACCAAGGCGUCGACGGGUAGCCGGCCUGAGAGGGUGACCGGCCACACUGGGACUGAGACACGGCCCAGACUCCUACGGGAGGCAGCAGUGGGGAAUAUUGCACAAUGGGCGCAAGCCUGAUGCAGCAACGCCGCGUGAGGGAUGACGGCCUUCGGGUUGUAAACCUCUUUUAGCAGGGAAGAAGCGAAAGUGACGGUACCUGCAGAAAAAGCGCCGGCUAACUACGU
rnacentral:rRNA from 1 species